rnacentral:lncRNA from 1 species
UGUAGAUUUAAGGCCAUCUCAAAAAUCUGCCAACAACAAUUUAAAAUCACACUGAUCGUCCCUAGCGUAAGUGGCAAAAAGCUUGGUGGUUGGUAUCCGAGGUCUCAAGUUUGAAUCCUAGUUGAUUCACACUUUCAGCUAAGUUUAUUUCUAUAUGAAAUUAAUAAACGAAUUAAGCAGGUAGCAUGAUACCUCUCUCUAAAAAAAAAAAACAAUUUAAAAUCACUAAACUUUCUUCUGGAUAUUCU